rnacentral:rRNA from 1 species
CCUACGGGAGGCAGCAGUGGGGAAUAUUGCACAAUGGGGGGAACCCUGAUGCAGCGACGCCGCGUGAGUGAAGAAGUAUUUCGGUAUGUAAAGCUCUAUCAGCAGGGAAGAAAAUGACGGUACCUGACUAAGAAGCACCGGCUAACUACGUGCCAGCAGCCGCGGGAAUACGUAGGGGGCAAGGGUUAUCCGGAUUUACUUGGUGUAAAGGGAGCGUAGACGGCAGAGCAAGUCUGAAGGGAAAGCCCGGGGCCCAACUGCGGGACUGCUUUGGAAACUGCCCGGCUAGAGUGCUCGAGGGGUAAGCGGAAUUCGUGGUGUAGCGGUGAAAUGCGUAGAUAUUAGGAGGAACACCAGUGGCGAAGGCGGCUUACUGGACAGUAACUGACGUUGAGGCUCGAAAGCGUGGGGAGCAAACAGGAUUAGAUACCCCAGUAGUC